rnacentral:rRNA from 1 species
UAAUAUUCCUGUACUUGGUGUUACUGCGAAGGGGGGACGGAGAAGGCUAUGUUAGCCGGGCGACGGUUGUCCCGGUUUAAGCAUGUAGGCGGAGGUUCCAGGUAAAUCCGGUACCUUUUUAACGCUGAGGUGUGAUGACGAGGCACUACGGUGCUGAAGUAACAAAUGCCCUGCUUCCAGGAAAAGCCUCUAAGCAUCAGGUAACACGAAAUCGUACCCCAAACCGACACAGGUGGUCAGGUAGAGAAUACCAAGGCGCUUGAGAGAACUCGGGUGAAGGAACUAGGCAAAAUGGUGCCGUAACUUCGGGAGAAGGCACGCUGAUAUGUAGGUGAAGUGAUUUACUCAUGGAGCUGAAAUCAGUCGAAGAUACCAGCUGGCUGCAACUGUUUAUUAAAAACACAGCACUGUGCAAACACGAAAGUGGACGUAUACGGUGUGACGCCUGCCCGGUGCCGGAAGGUUAAUUGAUGGGGUUAUCCGUAAGGAGAAGCUCUUGAUCGAAGCCCCGGUAAACGGCGGCCGUAACUAUAACGGUCCUAAGGUAGCGAAAUUCCUUGUCGGGUAAGUUCCGACCUGCACGAAUGGCGUAAUGAUGGCCAGGCUGUCUCCACCCGAGACUCAGUGAAAUUGAACUCGCUGUGAAGAUGCAGUGUACCCGCGGCAAGACGGAAAGACCCCGUGAACCUUUACUAUAGCUUGACACUGAACACUGGUCCUUGAUGUGUAGGAUAGGUGGGAGGCUUUGAAGUGUGGACGCCAGUCUGCAUGGAGCCAUCCUUGAAAUACCACCCUUUAAUGGCUGGUGUUCUAACGUGGACCCGUUACCCGGGUUGCGGACAGUGUCUGGUGGGUAGUUUGACUGGGGCGGUCUCCUCCUAAAGAGUAACGGAGGAGCACGAAGGUUAGCUAAUCCUGGUCGGACAUCAGGAGGUUAGUGCAAAGGCAUAAGCUAGCUUGACUGCGAGAGUGACGGCUCGAGCAGGUGCGAAAGCAGGUCUUAGUGAUCCGGUGGUUCUGAAUGGAAGGGCCAUCGCUCAACGGAUAAAAGGUACUCCGGGGAUAACAGGCUGAUACCGCCCAAGAGUUCAUAUCGACGGCGGUGUUUGGCACCUCGAUGUCGGCUCAUCACAUCCUGGGGCUGAAGUAGGUCCCAAGGGUAUGGCUGUUCGCCAUUUAAAGUGGUACGCGAGCUGGGUUUAGAACGUCGUGAGACAGUUCGGUCCCUAUCUGCCGUGGGCGCUGGAGAAUUGAGGGGGGCUGCUCCUAGUACGAGAGGACCGGAGUGGACGCAUCACUGGUGUUCGGGUUGUCAUGCCAAUGGCAUUGCCCGGUAGCUAAAUGCGGAAGAGAUAAGUGCUGAAAGCAUCUAAGCACGAAACUUGCCCCGAGAUGAGUUCUCCCUGAGACUUUAAGUCUCCUGAAGGAACGUUGAAGACGACGACGUUGAUAGGUCGGGUGUGUAAGCGUAGCGAUACGUUGAGCUAACCGAUACUAAUGAACCGUGAGGCUUAACCUU